rnacentral:rRNA from 1 species
UACAGGGGGGGCAAGCGUUGUUCGGAAUUACUGGGCGUAAAGGGUCUGUAGGUGGCCAACUAAGUCAGACGUGAAAUCCCUCAGCUUAACUGGGGAACUGCGUCUGAUACUGGAUGGCUUGAGUGUGGGAGAGGAAUGCGGAAUUCCAGGUGUAGCGGUGAAAUGCGUAGAUAUCGGGAAGAACACCAGUGGCGAAAGCGCUCUACUGGGCCAUAACUGACACUGAGGGACGAAAGCUAGGGGAGCGAAAGGG